rnacentral:rRNA from 1 species
GAUGAACGCUGGCGGCGUGCCUAAUACAUGCAAGUCGAGCGAACAGACGAGGAGCUUGCUCCUCUGACGUUAGCGGCGGACGGGUGAGUAACACGUGGAUAACCUACCUAUAAGACUGGGAUAACUUCGGGAAACCGGAGCUAAUACCGGAUAAUAUAUUGAACCGCAUGGUUCAAUAGUGAAAGACGGUUUUGCUGUCACUUAUAGAUGGAUCCGCGCCGCAUUAGCUAGUUGGUAAGGUAACGGCUUACCAAGGCAACGAUGCGUAGCCGACCUGAGAGGGUGUUCGGCCACACUGAAACUGAGACACGGUCCAGACCCCUACGGGAGGCGGAGGUAGGGAAUCUUCCGCAAUGGGCGAAAGCCUGACGGAGCAACGCCGCGGGGGUGAUGAAGGUCUUCGGAUCGUAAAACUCUGUUAUUAGGGAAAAACAAAUGUGUAAGUAACUAUGCACGUCUGGACGGUACCUAAUCAGAAGGCCACGGCUAACUACGG